rnacentral:lncRNA from 1 species
GGGAUUUGCGUCUGGAUGUUGGUUAUGGUGCUAAUGCAGGAUUCCGUCCUGGCCAAGGUGGUAACUAUGGCGUUUUGAGAAAUCCCCGACCACAAAUACCUAUGCAGUAUCCUGGAGGUAUCCUACCUGGGCCUAUGCAGCCCAUGGGUUCUCAGGGAGGGAUGCAAAGAAAUAGUCCUGAUGCUGACAGGUGGCAACGCAUUGCUAAUUUCCAACAGAAGGGUUUAAUUCCUUCUCCUCAGACUCCUUUGCAGAUGAUGCACAAAGCUGAUAGAAAAUAUGAAGUCGGUAAAGUGCAAGAUGGGGAAGAGGCCAAGCAGAGGCAGCUGAAAGCUAUUUUGAACAAGCUAACUCCUCAAAACUUCGAGAAACUCUUUGAGCAAGUAAAAGCAGUAAACAUCGACAAUGCUGUUACACUCACUGGUGUGAUCUCUCAAAUUUUUGACAAAGCUUUAAUGGAGCCUACUUUCUGUGAGAUGUAUGCAAACUUCUGUUAUUUUCUUGCUGGAGAGCUACCUGAUUUCAGUGAAGACAAUGAAAAAAUUACUUUCAAGAGACUGCUUCUGAACAAAUGCCAAGAGGAAUUUGAGAGAGGAGAGAGAGAGCAAGAAGAAGCUAACAAAGCUGAUAAAGAGGGGGAGAUUAAGCAGACCGAGGAAGAAAGAGAAGAGAAGAGAAUCAAGGCUCGAAGACGAUGGCUAGGCAACAUUAGACUAAUUGGUGAGUUGUACAAGAAGAAAAUGUUGACUGAGAGAAUAAUGCACUGCUGUACGGCCAAGGCGGAUGUACGGUACAGCAGCUAAUAAAUAGAGAAAUUUUCUUUUAAAUUUGACCUUGGCUGACUGUUUCAAGCAAGAUAUUAUCCCUUCUGAGAUUGCUUCUCAAUCUGCUACUUCGAAAUCUAUAGAACUUGUCAGCCAAACUGAUCAGGAAUCUGUAUUAAAGGCAACAGCUGUUUGCAAUGAGGUUCCAAUAUUGGGAACCACGGAGGAAGUGUUGGGUGAAUCUGCAAGAGCUUCUACUGAAGCUCACAGGGUUGCCGACGAUAUGGAUGCAUCUAGCUCCGGAAUUGCAGAUUCAACAAAUGUUGAAUGUUCACAUGGUAAUAAGACUUCGACUGUGGAUGCCUUGUCAAGCAAAAGUGUAAUACAGCAGCAUCCUGCUCCUGUUUCAGCUACUGAAUUUCUGGAAACAAUCCCAAAAACUGAAGGGGAGGUUCUGGAUAAUAGUGGUGCUGGCUCAGUCUUACUUCCAGUAUCGGGUUCCAAGGAUAUGCCUGUAGUAGAAUUAAAUAGAUCAAAGAGCUCUAUUACUAGAGGAAAGAAGAAGAGAAGAGAAAUCCUUCUGAAAGCUGAUGCUGCCGGGACAACUUCAGAUCUUUACAUGGCUUAUAAGGGUCCUGAGGAGAAGGAGGCUGCCAUGCCUUUAGAAAGUGCUCAAGACACAUCUACUAUUGCGAAUUCAAAGCAAGUAGCUGCUGAUACUGUUCAUGUACAUGCUGUAGCCAGUGAAAAAAGUGUUCAUAGUAAAGCAGAGCCUGAUGAUUGGGAAGAUGCUGCUGACAUGUCAACACCAAAAUUAGAACCUUUAGAUGAAGAUGGAAAUGGAAAUCUGGGGAAGAAGUAUUCAAGAGAUUUUCUCCUGAAGUUUGCUGAACAAUGUACUGAUCUUCCAGAGGGUUUUGAGAUAGCAGCUGAUAUAGCAGAGGCUUUGAUGAGUGGUAAUAUCAAUAUUUCUCAUCUUGUUGAUCGUGAUUCGUAUCCUAGUCCUGGAAGAGCAACGGAUAGGCAAUCGGGGGGGCCUCGAGUUGAUCGUCGUGGAAGCGUAAUGGUUGAUGAUGAUAGAUGGGGUAGACUACCUGGUCCAAGUUUGGGGAGGGAUUUGCGUCUGGAUGUUGGUUAUGGUGCUAAUGCAGGAUUCCGUCCUGGCCAAGGUGGUAACUAUGGCGUUUUGAGAAAUCCCCGACCACAAAUACCUAUGCAGUAUCCUGGAGGUAUCCUACCUGGGCCUAUGCAGCCCAUGGGUUCUCAGGGAGGGAUGCAAAGAAAUAGUCCUGAUGCUGACAGGUGGCAACGCAUUGCUAAUUUCCAACAGAAGGGUUUAAUUCCUUCUCCUCAGACUCCUUUGCAGAUGAUGCACAAAGCUGAUAGAAA